rnacentral:tRNA from 1 species
AGGAUAUAGCUCAGUGGUAGAGUGUGUGCUUAGCAUGUACAAGAUCCUGGGUUCAAUCCCCAGUACCUA